CCUACGGGAGACUGCAGUGGGGAAUAUUGGACAAUGGGGGGAACCCUGAUCCAGCGACGCCGCGUGAGUGAAGAAGUAUUUCGGUAUGUAAAGCUCUAUCAGCAGGGAAGAAAGAAAUGACGGUACCUGACUAAGAAGCCCCGGCUAACUACGUGCCAGCAGCCGCGGUAAUACGUAGGGGGCAAGCGUUAUCCGGAUUUACUGGGUGUAAAGGGAGCGUAGACGGCGAUGCAAGUCUGAAGUGAAAGGCGGGGGCCCAACCCCCGGACUGCUUUGGAAACUGUAUGGCUGGAGUGCAGGAGAGGUAAGUGGAAUUCCUAGUGUAGCGGUGAAAUGCGUAGAUAUUAGGAGGAACACCAGUGGCGAAGGCGGCUUACUGGACAGUAACUGACGUUGAGGCUCGAAAGCGUGGGGAGCAAACAGGAUUAGAUACCCUUGUAGUC
rnacentral:rRNA from 1 species